CAGGCUUAACACAUGCAAGUCGAGGGGCAGCAUUUUAGUUUGCUUGCAAACUGAAGAUGGCGACCGGCGCACGGGUGAGUAACACGUAUCCAACCUGCCGAUAACUCCGGAAUAGCCUUUCGAAAGAAAGAUUAAUACCGGAUAGCAUACGAAUAUCGCAUGAUAUUUUUAUUAAAGAAUUUCGGUUAUCGAUGGGGAUGCGUUCCAUUAGUUUGUUGGCGGGGUAACGGCCCACCAAGACUACGAUGGAUAGGGGUUCUGAGAGGAAGGUCCCCCACAUUGGAACUGAGACACGGUCCAAACUCCUACGGGAGGCAGCAGUGAGGAAUAUUGGUCAAUGGGCGAGAGCCUGAACCAGCCAAGUAGCGUGAAGGAUGAAGGCUCUAUGGGUCGUAAACUUCUUUUAUAUGGGAAUAAAGUUUUCCACGUGUGGAAUUUUGUAUGUACCAUAUGAAUAAGGAUCGGCUAACUCCGUGCCAGCAGCCGCGGUAAUACGGAGGAUCCGAGCGUUAUCCGGAUUUAUUGGGUUUAAAGGGAGCGUAGGUGGAUUGUCAAGUCAGUUGUGAAAGUUUGCGGCUCAACCGUAAAAUUGCAGUUGAAACUGGCAGUCUUGAGUACAGUAGAGGUGGGCGGAAUUCGUGGUGUAGCGGUGAAAUGCUUAGAUAUCACGAAGAACUCCGAUUGCGAAGGCAGCUCACUAGACUGUCACUGACACUGAUGCUCGAAAGUGUGGGUAUCAAACAGGAUUAGAUACCCCGGUAGUCCACACAGUAAACGAUGAAUACUCGCUGUUUGCGAUAUACAGUAAGCGGCCAAGCGAAAGCAUUAAGUAUUCCACCUGGGGAGUACGCCGGCAACGGUGAAACUCAAAGGAAUUGACGGGGGCCCGCACAAGCGGAGGAACAUGUGGUUUAAUUCGAUGAUACGCGAGGAACCUUACCCGGGCUUAAAUUGCAACAGAAUAUAUUGGAAACAGUAUAGCCGUAAGGCUGUUGUGAAGGUGCUGCAUGGUUGUCGUCAGCUCGUGCCGUGAGGUGUCGGCUUAAGUGCCAUAACGAGCGCAACCCUUAUCUUUAGUUACUAACAGGUUAUGCUGAGGACUCUAGAGAGACUGCCGUCGUAAGAUGUGAGGAAGGUGGGGAUGACGUCAAAUCAGCACGGCCCUUACGUCCGGGGCUACACACGUGUUACAAUGGGGGGUACAGAAGGCGGCUACCUGGUGACAGGAUGCUAAUCCCAAAAACCUCUCUCAGUUCGGAUCGAAGUCUGCAACCCGACUUCGUGAAGCUGGAUUCGCUAGUAAUCGCGCAUCAGCCAUGGCGCGGUGAAUACGUUCCCGGGCCUUGUACACACCGCCCGUCAAGCCAUGAAAGCCGGGGGUACCUGAAGUACGUAACCGCAAGGAGCGUCCUAGGGUAAAACUGGUAAUUGGGGCUAAGUCGU
rnacentral:rRNA from 1 species